UUCCUGCUUCACCUCCCUGAGCAGGAGCCUGCAAAGGUAUUGACCCCGGCCCGUGCCGGGGUUUUUUCU
rnacentral:ncRNA from 1 species